GUGUAAGCCUAGGAUGCCUCUCAGAUUAGAAUUAAAAUUGCUAAACAAGUCCUUAAUAUAUAUAAUAUCAAAAAGCACAAAGUCGGCUUGUUAUUAAAUUCUAAAAAGUUUAUAGUCAAGAAAUUUCUUAGCCCUAAUUUUUAUUCUUUCUCUUCGUCAUCUACCGGGUAAAGGAGAAAAUGAUCAAUUUGCAAUGACAAAGCAAACACGCAUCAUCCCCCAUCACUUGCUCUGGUUCGACGCUUCUGAUUGUAGAUUCCUUCUUUGCUUGUCUUUCUUUUGAAGUUCUUAUGCUCUUUCAAGUUGAAUAUGAGUUCAUAUCCGCCCUGAACAACAUUUUGUGAAUAACCUCUCGUUGUUGUUGCAGUGGUCUCCAUUUUCAACGGAGGAAGCCCUUCUUAAGCAAUUGGAUGACAUUGGUGAUCAUGGGAGUAGGAUCAUAAUCUACAAUUUGUGGCUAAAUAAUGAAGGCAAAAUGGAGCUUGACUUUCAGUCAGAUCCUGAGGAUAUUCGUAUCUCUUGUGAUGCAGAAAGUGGUAAAAGUUGCUCCAG